rnacentral:lncRNA from 1 species
UACACACAUGAGAUCAAAUUUUAACUUUAGGUACCUAAGCUAACUUGGGUUCUUUGGGAUUAGUCACAAUGAUUCUUUUUGGAACUCAUAUUUUUUUAACCUUUCUACCAUUAAAUUUGUUUGAUGAACAUGUAUAUGCUUUAUGUCCUACCAUGCCACAUCUAAAACAAGUAAUAUUUGAUAAAUUUCUUGUGGAUUCAUUAACAAAAAUAUUUUUGAAGGACUUUUGUUUUCUUAGAGUAUUGUAGCCAAGUCCUGC